UUUUUAGCCAGAUGGAAACGGCAUCCUUUUUUAUUGCUUUUUUAGCAAUAAAAAAGAUAAAGUGUACAGCUGGAAAUAGC
rnacentral:sRNA from 1 species